rnacentral:sRNA from 1 species
UGGCUAUGUGUGUUAAUUAUUUAAUAUACUGUUGAGUUCAGUUUUCUAUCACUGUAUUUUAUUUACAGGGUCUACAUCUGUUGAUGGGCUCUUCCUAAAGCCCACGAGGAAUGCUGCACACAGAAUGACCGAGGUCCACAUCAAGGAGAGAGCCAUCUUGGGGAAGGAAGCAGUUAAGCUAUUUCAAAGAGAUUAUUGGGUUUUAAUGAUCCAAGGCAUUAAAAGAUCUCAUCACAGCAAUACUGACACUGUACCUCGGGUAUAAAGAACCUGUCCAGCAAGUACCAGGAUCCCUGGAAUGACUCUUCAUACAGCAUGGUGUGCAGUGGCAUCUGGACACCUUGAGGGAGGAAAUGGAAGACACAGAACUACAGCUAGCCCUCAACACACAAGUGCCACCAACAAUCCUCAAGGCUGCCUGUGAUGGUUUGCAUAUGCUUGGCUCAGGGAGUGGCACUAUUAGAAGGUGUGGCCUUGU